UCCCUGGCGAUUUAGUGGUUGAGAUUCUGCCCUUCUAAUGCAGGGUCUUGGGUUCGAUCCCUAGUCAGGGAA
rnacentral:tRNA from 1 species